rnacentral:rRNA from 1 species
UGCCUUGAAGAUCGGAGUGCUUGCACUCUGUGAAACAAGAUACAGGCUAGCGGCGGACGGGUGAGUAACACGUGGGUAACCUGCCCAAGAGAUCGGGAUAACACCUGGAAACAGAUGCUAAUACCGGAUAACAACAGAUGAUGCCUAUCAACUGUUUAAAAGAUGGUUCUGCUAUCACUCUUGGAUGGACCUGCGGUGCAUUAGCUAGUUGGUAGGGUAACGGCCUACCAAGGCGAUGAUGCAUAGCCGAGUUGAGAGACUGAUCGGCCACAUUGGGGCUGAGACACGGCCCAAACUCCUACGGGAGGCAGCAGUAGGGAAUCUUCCACAAUGGACGCAAGUCUGAUGGAGCAACGCCGCGUGAGUGAAGAAGGGUUUCGGCUCGUAAAGCUCUGUUGUUGGUGAAGAAGGGCAGGGGUAGUAACUGACCUUUGUUUGACGGUAAU